rnacentral:rRNA from 1 species
GUUCGGAUCSASMWACGCKNCCNGCUUUUGUGGGGUGCUCGAGUGGCGAACGGGUGAGUAACACGUGAGUAACCUGCCCUUGACUUUGGGAUAACUUCAGGAAACUGGGGCUAAUACCGGAUAGGAGCUCCUGCUGCAUGGUGGGGGUUGGAAAGUUUCGGCGGUUGGGGAUGGACUCGCGGCUUAUCAGCUUGUUGGUGGGGUAGUGGCUUACCAAGGCUUUGACGGGUAGCCGGCCUGAGAGGGUGACCGGCCACAUUGGGACUGAGAUACGGCCCAGACUCCUACGGGAGGCAGCAGUGGGGAAUAUUGCACAAUGGGCGGAAGCCUGAUGCAGCAACGCCGCGUGCGGGAUGACGGCCUUCGGGUUGUAAACCGCUUUCGCCUGUGACGAAGCGUGAGUGACGGUAAUGGGUAAAGAAGCACCGGCUAACUACGUGCCAGCAGCCGCGGUGAUACGUAGGGUGCGAGCGUUGUCCGGAUUUAUUGGGCGUAAAGGGCUCGUAGGUGGUUGAUCGCGUCGGAAGUGUAAUCUUGGGGCUUAACCCUGAGCGUGCUUUCGAUACGGGUUGACUUGAGGAAGGUAGGGGAGAAUGGAAUUCCUGGUGGAGCGGUGGAAUGCGCAGAUAUCAGGAGGAACACCAGUGGCGAAGGCGGUUCUCUGGGCCUUUCCUGACGCUGAGGAGCGAAAGCGUGGGGAGCGAACAGGCUUAGAUACCCUGGUAGUCCACGCUGUAAACGGUGGGUACUAGGUGUGGGGUCCAUUCCACGGGUUCCGUGCCGUAGCUAACGCUUUAAGUACCCCGCCUGGGGAGUACGGCCGCAAGGCUAAAACUCAAAGGAAUUGACGGGGCCCCGCACAAGCGGCGGAGCAUGCGGAUUAAUUCGAUGCAACGCGUAGAACCUUACCUGGGUUUGACAUGGAUCGGGAGUGCUCAGAGAUGGGUGUGCCUCUUUUGGGGUCGGUUCACAGGUGGUGCAUGGCUGUCGUCAGCUCGUGUCGUGAGAUGUUGGGUUAAGUCCCGCAACGAGCGCAACCCUUGUUCACUGUUGCCAGCACGUUAUGGUGGGGACUCAUUGGAAACCGCCCGGGUCA